rnacentral:rRNA from 1 species
UACGUAGGAGACGAGCGUUGUCCGGAAUUACUGGGCGUAAAGCGCGUGUAGGCGGAUGGGCAAGUCUGCUGUGAAAGCUCCUGGCUUAACCGGGAGUGGUCGGUGGAAACUGCCAAUCUGGAGGACGGUAGAGGUAGGUAGAAUUCCCCGGUGUAGUGGUGAAAUGCGUAGAGAUCGGGAGGAAUACCUGUGGCGAAGGCGGCCUACUGGGCCGGACCUGACGCUGAGACGCGAAGGCGUGGGGGAGCGAACGGG